AUGAUGGGGCCUCGUCGGACGUGGCUUCUCUGGGCCUGGCUCGUGCUCCAGUGUGGUGCUGAUCCACCAGCCCACAGCAGCGCCAAGCUCUGCGCUGGGGUACAAUGCGGGCUGGGGACCACUUGCAGAGUGCUGGACGGCAGGCCCAAGUGCGUCCCCUCGCCCUCCUGCAAAAAUUACCAAUGCAAAGACGGGACCCGGUGCCAGAUGGUGGAUGGCUGGCCCCAGUGCGUCCCAGCGCCAUCGUGCAAGAACACCCGUUGUGAAGCUGGAACAGAGUGCAAGAUGGUGGAUGGGUGGCCAAAAUGUGUCCCGUUGCCGUCGUGCAAGAACACCCGUUGUGGAGCUGGAACUCAGUGCCAGAUGGUGGACGGGUUGCCCAAAUGUGUCCCGUUGCCGUCGUGCAAGAACACCCGAUGUGGAGCAGGAACUCAGUGCCAGAUGGUGGACGGGUGGCCCAAAUGUGUCCCGUUGCCUUCAUGUAAAAACACCCGUUGUGGAGCAGGAACUCAGUGCCAGAUGGUGGACGGGUGGCCCAAGUGCGUCCCGUUGCCAUCAUGCAAGAACACCCGUUGUGGAGCUGGAACUCAGUGCAAGAUGGUGGAUGGAUGGCCCAAAUGCGUCCCGUUGCCUUCGUGCAAGAACACCCGAUGUGGAGCUGGAACAGAAUGCAAGAUGAUUGAUGGGUUGCCCAAAUGUGUCCCGUUGCCAUCAUGCAAGAACUUCCACUGCCAAGCAGGAACAGAAUGCAAGAUGGUAGAUGGAUGGCCGAAAUGCGUCCCUUUGCCCUCGUGUAAAAACACCCGUUGUGGAGCAGGAACAGAAUGCAAAAUGGUUGAUGGAUUGCCCAAAUGUGUCCCGUUGCCAUCGUGCAAGAACUUCCACUGCCAAGCAGGAACAGAAUGCAAGAUGGUGGAUGGAUGGCCGAAAUGCGUCCCUUUGCCCUCAUGCAAGAAUACCCGUUGUGAAGAAGGAACGCAGUGCAAGAUGGUGGACGGGUGGCCAAAAUGUGUCCCCUUGCCUUCAUGUAAAAACACCCGUUGUGAAGCAGGAACUCAGUGCCAGAUGGUGGAUGGAUGGCCGAAAUGUGUCCCAUUGCCCUCGUGUAAGAACACCCAUUGUGGAGAAGGAACAGAAUGCAAGAUGAUUGAUGGAUUGCCCAAAUGCGUCCCAUUGCCCUCAUGCAAGAACUUCCAUUGUGAAGCUGGAACAGAAUGCAAGAUGGUGGACGGGUGGCCAAAAUGUGUCCCGUUACCAUCGUGCAAGAACACCCGAUGUGGAGCAGGAACAGAAUGCAAGAUGGUUGAUGGAUGGCCCAAGUGUGUCCCAUUGCCAUCGUGCAAGAACUUCCAGUGUGGAGCAGGAACUCAGUGCCAGAUGGUGGACGGGUGGCCCAGGUGUGUCCCGUUGCCAUCAUGCAAGAACACCCGAUGUGGAGCCGGGACUCGGUGCCAGAUGGUGGACGGGUUGCCCAAAUGCGUCCCGUUGCCUUCAUGCAAGAACUUCCAUUGUGGGGCAGGAACUCAGUGCCAGAUGGUGGAUGGAUGGCCCAAAUGUGUCCCGUUGCCAUCAUGCAAGAACACCCGAUGUGGGGCAGGAACUCGGUGCCAGAUGGUGGACGGAUUGCCCAAAUGCGUCCCGUUGCCGUCGUGCAACAACUUCCGUUGUGGGGCAGGGACGCGAUGCAAGAUGGUGGACGGGUGGCCCAAAUGCGUCCCCGUGCCCUCGUGUCGGAAUUUCCCCUGCAAGGAUGGGACGCGGUGCCAGAUGGUGGCCGGCAGACCCAGGUGCGUCCCCGUGCCCUCGUGCCACAACACCAAGUGCGGCGAGGGCAUGCGGUGCAAGGUGGUGGAUGGAUGGCCCAGGUGUGUCCACCUCCUGCCGUCCUGCCGGGACAUUCGGUGCUUGAAGGGGACCCACUGCAAAAUGGUGGACGGGUGGCCCAAAUGCGUGCGCAAGCAGGUCUUCCAGAGGGAAGUGCCCCCACUGCCAGCUCCCCAGGCGCCCCCCUCGUGCCAAAACGUUCCCUGUACCAAAGGGACCACGUGCAAGGUGGUGGAUGGGUGGCCCCAGUGCGUCCCCACCAAGACGUCCCCAAGGAGACCUUCUUGCGCUGACAUCCACUGUCCCAAAAGGACCACGUGCAAGAUGACGGAUGGGUGGCCCCACUGCGUCCAGAAGCGCCCCUCCUGCAGUGACAUCAAAUGCGAGAAGGGAACCUCCUGCCAGAUCGUUGAUGGUUGGCCACGGUGCGUCCAAAGCAAGACGUCCCCAGGACAACCUUGUCGGGACAUCCAGUGUCCCAAGGGAACCUCGUGCAAGGUGACUGAUGGCCAAGCGCGGUGUGUCCACAACCCACCCUCCUGUGAUGACAUCCAGUGCCAGAAGGGAACCGUGUGCCACAUGGUCGAUGGUUGGCCAUGGUGCGGGCCAACCAAGACCUCCUACUCGCAGCCCGCCCAUAAAACCCUGUCGUGCGAGGACAUCCGCUGCCAAAUGGGGACGGUGUGCAAAAUGGUCGACGGGUGGCCCAAGUGCGUCGGGCCCCUGCCGUCAUGCAACGACAUCCGAUGUCCCCAAGGCACGGUGUGCAAGAUGAUCAACGGUUGGCCCAAGUGCAUCCACAACCCGCCCUCCUGCAGCAACAUCCAGUGCCCGAAGGGGACCAAGUGCCUCAUGGCCCAGGGUUGGCCCCGCUGCGUGCAGAGUGGGCCCUUCCACCACCAGCAACCGGCUUCUCCCAACUGGGCAGGCACCAGGAGAUAUUUCUACUCCCAGCCCGUCCCGAAACAGCUCCCCAGUGCGCAGCCAUCUUGCGCCGACGUGUGGUGUCGCCGAGGGACCUCGUGUAAGAUGAUGGACAACCAACCUCGAUGUGUCCCCAACCCACCUUCUUGUAGUGACAUCCAGUGCCAGAAGGGAACCGCGUGCCAGAUGGUUGACGGUUGGCCCCAGUGCGUUCAAACCAAGAUAUCCCACACGCAACCAACCCAGAAAAAAAGGACGUGUGAGGACAUCCAGUGUGCAAAAGGAACCGUGUGUAACAUGCUGGAAGGUGGACCCAAAUGCAUUGCCCAACGUCGUUCCUGCAGUGACAUCCAGUGUCCCAAGGGGACCACGUGUAGGAUGGCAGAUGGACAACCCCACUGUGUCCACAAUGCACCGUCAUGCAGUGAUAUCCAGUGCCAGAAGGGAACCGUGUGCCAGAUGGUUGAUGGUUGGCCCAGGUGCAUCCAAACCAAGAUAUCUGUCAGGCGGCCUUCUUGCAGUGAUGUCCACUGUCCCAAAGGAACCACAUGCAAUUUGAUCGAUGGUCAACCACGAUGUGUCCACAAUGCGCCCUCAUGCAGUGACAUCCACUGCCAGAAAGGAACCACGUGCCAGAUGGUUGAUGGUUGGCCACGGUGCAUUCAAACCAAGGUCUCACCAAGGCGACCUUCCUGCAGUGACAUCCAAUGUCCUAAAGGGACCACGUGCAACUUGAUUGAUGGCCAACCACGAUGCAUCCACAAUGCUCCCUCCUGCAGUGAUGUCCAGUGCCAGAAGGGAACCACGUGCCAGAUGGUUGAUGGUUGGCCACGGUGCGUUCAAACCAAGAUAUCCAUCAGGCAACCUUCUUGCAACGAUGUCCACUGUCCCAAAGGAACCACAUGCAACUUGAUCGAUGGUCAACCACGAUGUGUCCAUAACCCACCUUCCUGCAGUGACAUCGAGUGCCAGAAGGGAACCACGUGCCAGAUGGUUGAUGGUUGGCCCCGGUGCAUCCAAACCAAGACCUUGGUGAGGCAACCGUCUUGCAAGGACAUCCAGUGUCCCAAAGGGACCACAUGUAGGAUGGCAGAUGGACAACCCCACUGUGUCCACAACACACCAUUGUGCAGUGAUAUCCAGUGCCAGAAGGGAACCACAUGCCAGAUGGUUGAUGGUUGGCCCCGAUGCAUCCAAAUCAAGAUCUCUCCAAGACGACCUUCUUGCAAUGAUAUCCACUGCCCCAAAGGAACGACGUGCAACUUGAUUGAUGGUCAACCACGAUGUGUCCACAAUGCACCCUCUUGCAGUGACAUCCAGUGCCAGAAGGGAACGACGUGCCAGAUGGUUGAUGGUUGGCCCCGAUGCGUGCAAACCAAGACCUUGGUGAGGCAACCGUCUUGCAAGGACAUCCAGUGUCCCAAAGGGACCACGUGUAGGGUGGCAGAUGGACAACCUCACUGUGUCCACAACGUGCCCUCUUGCAAUGAGAUCCACUGCCAGAAGGGAACCACGUGCCAGAUGGUUGAUGGUUGGCCAAGGUGCGUCCAAACCAAGAUGCCCUCUGUGCAACCUACUUGCAGUGACAUCCAGUGUCCCAGAGGGACCACGUGUAAGAUGGAUGAUGGUUGGCCGCUCUGCAUCCAAAACCGACCCUCUUGCCAUGAUGUCCAGUGCCAGAAGGGAACCACGUGCCAGAUGGUCAAUGGUUGGCCCCGGUGUGUCCAAGUCAAGACCUCCAUUAGGAAACCUUCUUGCAGCGAUGUCCAAUGCCCCAAGGGGACCACGUGCAGUUUGAGAGAUGAGUGGCCUCAAUGUGUUCACGACAAACCCUCCUGCAAAGAUAUCCAAUGUCCAAAGGGGACCACGUGUAGGAUCACAGAUGGGUGGGCCAGGUGUGUCCACACCCAGCCUUCCUGCCAUGAGGUCCAAUGCCAGAAGGGAUCUGCGUGCCAGAUGGUUGAUGGCUGGCCCCGAUGUGUGCAAACCAAAACCACCGUGAGGCUACCAUCCUGCAACAACAUCCAGUGUCCCAAAGGGACCUCGUGCAAAAUGCUGCAGGGGUGGCCCCAGUGCGUCCACAGCCAACCCACCUGCAGUGAUGUCCACUGCCCCAAGGGGACCAUGUGCAAUAUUGUCAACGGUUGGCCCCAGUGUGUGCAAAACCGUCCCUCCUGCAGUGACAUCCAAUGCCAGAAGGGAUCAGCUUGCCAGAUGGUUGAUGGUUGGCCCCGGUGUGUCCAAACCAAGAUCUCCCCAAGACGGCCUUCUUGCAACAAUGUGCAAUGUCCCAAGGGAACCACGUGCAAGAUACUAUUUGGUUGGCCUCAGUGCGUUCACAGACAACCAUCGUGCAACGACAUCCAGUGUGAGAAAGGAAGCGUGUGCCAGAUGGUGGAUGGUUGGCCAAGGUGUGUUCAGCACCAGCCAACUUGCAACGACCUCCAGUGUCCUACAGGGACCUCAUGCAGGAUGGCAGAUGGUUGGCCCCAGUGUGUCCAAGUCAAGAUGGCCCCAAGGAAACCUUCUUGCAGGGACAUCCAGUGUCCCAAAGGGACCGUGUGCAAGGUGCUACUCGGGUGGCCUCAGUGUGUCCGCAGACAACCAUCCUGCAACGAUAUCCAGUGCCAGAAGGGAAGCGUGUGCCAGAUUGUAGAUGGUUGGCCACGGUGUGUUCAGAGACAACCUACUUGUAAGGACAUCCAGUGCCCUAAAGGGACUACGUGCUCUGUGUUCAAUGGCUGGCCCCAAUGCAUCCAAAAUCGUCCCUCCUGCAGUGACAUCCAAUGCCAGAAGGGAACCACGUGUCAGAUGGUGGAUGGUUGGCCCCGAUGCAUCCAAACCAAGAUCUCCCCAAGACGGCCUUCUUGCAACGAUGUCCACUGUCCCAAAGGAACCACGUGCAAUAUUAUCAACGGCUGGCCCCAAUGUGUCCAAAAUCGUCCCUCCUGCAGUGACAUCCAGUGCCAGAAGGGAACUGCGUGCCAGAUGGUUGAUGGUUGGCCCCGAUGUGUGCACACCAAGACCACCCUGAGGCUACCAUCCUGCAACAACAUCCACUGCCCCAAAGGGACCUCGUGCAAGAUGCUGCAGGGGUGGCCCCAGUGCGUCCACAGCCAACCCUCCUGCAGUGAUGUCCACUGCCCCAAGGGGACCACGUGCAAUAUUGUCAACGGUUGGCCCCAGUGCGUCCCAAACCGACCUUCUUGCAGCAACAUCCAGUGCCAGAAGGGAACCGCGUGCCAGAUGGUUGACAGUUGGCCCCGGUGUGUGCAAAUCAAGACCUCCAUUCGUAGACCUACUUGCAGUGACCUCCAGUGUCCCAAAGGGAGCAUCUGCAAGAUAACAGACAACUGGCCGCAGUGCGUCUACACCCAACCCUCUUGCAAUGACAUCCAGUGUCGGAAGGGAACCACGUGCCAGAUGGUUGAUGGUUGGCCAAGGUGUGUUCAAAUCAAGGUCUCCCCAGGGCGACCUACUUGUGCAGAUCUCCACUGCUCCAAAGGGACCACGUGCAAGAUGACGAAUGGGUGGCCCCACUGCGUCCAGAACCCACCCUCCUGCAGUGACGUCCAGUGCCAGAAGGGAACCACGUGCCAGAUGGUCGAUGGUUGGCCCCGGUGUGUGCAAGUCAAGACUUCCAUCAGGAGACCGACUUGUAGGGACGUCCAGUGUUCCAAGGGAUCCAUGUGCAAAAUGCUACAUGGGUGGCCGCAGUGUGUCCACUCCCAGCCCUCCUGUCACGAUGUCCAGUGCCCCAAAGGGACCGCAUGUAAUAUGGUCAACGGAUGGCCCCAGUGCGUCCAAAAUCGUCCCUCCUGCAGUGACAUCCAGUGCCAGAAGGGAACGACGUGCCAGAUGGUUGAUGGUUGGCCCCAAUGCGUCCAAACCAAGACCUCCAUUAGGGGACCUUCCUGCAGGGAUAUUCAGUGCCCCAAAGGGAUCACGUGCAAGAUGCUGCAUGGGUGGCCUCAGUGUAUCCAUAGACAACCCUCCUGCAGUGACAUCCAGUGCCAGAAGGGGACCACGUGCCAGAUGGUCGAUGGUUGGCCCCAGUGUGUCCAAACCAAGGCCUCCCCAAGACGGCCUUCUUGCAACGAUGUCCACUGUCCCAAAGGGACCACGUGCAAGAUGACAGAUGGGUGGCCACGGUGUGUCCAUAGUCAACCUUCCUGCAGUGACAUCCAGUGUCCCAAAGGGACUACGUGCAAUAUUAUCAACGGCUGGCCCCAAUGCGUCCAAAAUCGUCCCUCCUGCAGUGACAUCCAGUGCCAGAAGGGAACCGUGUGCCAGAUGGUUGAUGGUUGGCCCCGAUGUGUGCAAACCAAGACCACCCUGAGGCAACCAUCCUGCAACAACAUCCACUGCCCCAAAGGGACCUCGUGCAAGAUGCUGCAGGGGUGGCCCCAGUGCGUCCACAGCCAACCCACCUGCAGUGAUGUCCACUGCCCCAAGGGGACCACGUGCAAUAUUGUCAACGGUUGGCCCCAGUGUGUGCAAAACCAUCCCUCCUGCAGUGACAUCCAAUGCCAGAAGGGAUCAGCUUGCCAAAUGGUUGAUGGUUGGCCCCGGUGUGUGCAACUCAAGACCUCCAUUCGUAGACCGUCUUGCAGGGACAUCCAGUGUCCAAAGGGGACCACGUGCAAGGUGAACGAUGGGUGGCCGCAGUGCGUCUACACCCAACCCUCCUGCAAUGACAUCCAGUGUCCCAAGGGCACGGCCUGCACGAUGACAGAGGGUUGGCCCCAGUGUCUUCCCAGCCAUCCCCUCUUCCGCUCUGCACCCUGGGGUCACCCUGCUUCUGCCCCCCAAAUUUCCGCUGGGGUCUCCCCCAUCCCCUCGUCCUGCAGUGGUGCCCACUGCGCUGCCACCCUUGCGUCCUGCCAGAAUUUUGCCUGCAAGCCCGGCACCGUUUGCAUGGUGGUGCACGGCCACCCCACGUGUGUCUCCCGACCUUCGUGCAAGAACCUCCACUGCCAAGCGGGGAUGGGCUGCAAGCUCCUCAACGGGUGGCCCCGCUGUGUCCGCAUCCCCUCGUGC
rnacentral:lncRNA from 1 species